CCACCUUUGGCAACGACCGCAGCGCCAUCUACAAAGUAUAAAAUUAACCCGCAGCGCUGAAGCAGUAGUCACUUCAGGUCUGCCUUUUGCCCCGUUAACGUGGUGUGCUAGAGGCUAAGUCAAGAUGGCCGCGGAUCUCAGUGCUCGUGAUGUAGAGAGGGUGAAAUUCGCCUUCUCUAUCUAUGACUUCGAAGGCAACGGCACCAUGGAUGCCUUCUACAUUGGCGAUUGCCUUCGCGCCCUGAACCUCAACCCCACCUUAGCUAUCAUUGAGAAGGUCGGAGGCAAGGAGAAGAGGAAGGAGAAGAUUAUUAAGCUCGAGGAAUUCAUACCCAUCUUCGCUCAGGUUAAGAAGGACAAGGACGCCGGCUCCUACGAGGACUUCAUGGAAGUGCUGAAGCUCUACGACAAAUCUGAGAAUGGCACUAUGAUGUACGCCGAGCUUGAACACAUCCUCCUGUCCCUUGGUGAGCGCCUCGAAAAGUCCGAAUUGGAGCCAGUGCUGAAGGAGUGCUGCAACGAAGAGGAUGAAGACGGCUUCAUUCCCUACGAGCCUUUCCUUACGAAACUCUGCAAAGACAUCAAGUAAAACUCCAGAAAUAUGCCUUUCCUUAAGAGAAUUUUGGCCUUCAAAAUCUAGAGGACACUUCUACUUUCCUUAAGAAGAUGACUCAACUACUCUAAAUACGUCCGCCAUCUUCUUUUGUGACGUCAUCACAGAGUGCGCAUGCGUGCAACACCACCGCCAUUCGGAGUGUCAGUGCGCAGUGUACAAUCAUUCUGUGGGCUCGACCAAACCACAGACAUUUAUUAGCUAAAUUAUACACAUACACCAAAAGUAUAUAAAGAUUACCAAGAUGAAAGUGAAUAUAAGUGGAAAAAUUGUUAUAUUUGACAAUGUGAGCCACCCGUCACAUGCUCAUCACUUCCUGUCCGUAUGUGUCUUGUGUCCGUGUAGCGGUGAAGGUCCCAUGGAUCUGUGGAACGUCUCCUUUUUCUGUCUCAUCCACGCGGGGUGAAGGAGGGGUCAAGGCAGGCGCGACCCGUGUUGACUUGUAGACCUGAAGUGACCACUGAAUUGAUCCGCACAUAGUUGACCACCCGACAUCACCUAGAGGUGGGAGACUAUAGACGCCAUUAUCAAGACUCCCUCCCCGCAAUAGCCAGCCGGCCCAGCCGACCAUCGCCGCCAUCUUGCGGGCCCCGCGCGCGCGCGGGAGGGACAAGAAAACUCAAAAAAAGAAACAUCCAAGACUCCAUCAUCACGGUCGCGCCCUGCCUGCGCCCUAAUGCCCCAAGAGUGCCUCUGAACGCGCCCAGCGAGGUGACCAGGGGGAGUGUCUCAGUCAGUCAGUCAGUAAACAAGGCCAACAUCAGUCAGUCGUCAGUCAGUCAGUCCGCUCGCAAAAAGCCAUCGUUACCAACUGCUGUCUGUAGACACAUUGGUUAAGUUCUAUAUCGUCUCAAUAAAACAAAACCACAUCA